GAUGAACGCUAGCGGGAGGCCUAACACAUGCAAGCCGAGCGGUAUUUGUUCUUCGGAACAGAGAGAGCGGCGCACGGGUGCGGAACACGUGUGCAACCUGCCUUUAUCUGGGGGAUAGUCUUUCGAAAGGAAGAUUAAUACCCCAUAAUAUAUUGAGUGGCAUCAUUUGAUAUUGAAAACUCCGGUGGAUAGAGAUGGGCACGCGCAAGAUUAGAUAGUUGGUGAGGUAACGGCUCACCAAGUCAAUGAUCUUUAGGGGGCCUGAGAGGGUGAUCCCCCACACUGGUACUGAGACACGGACCAGACUCCUACGGGAGGCAGCAGUGAGGAAUAUUGGACAAUGGGUUAGCGCCUGAUCCAGCCAUCCCGCGUGAAGGACGACGGCCCUAUGGGUUGUAAACUUCUUUUGUAUAGGGAUAAACCUACUCUCGUGAGAGUAGCUGAAGGUACUAUACGAAUAAGCACCGGCUAACUCCGUG
rnacentral:rRNA from 1 species